rnacentral:rRNA from 1 species
UACGAAGGGGGCUAGCGUUGUUCGGAAUCACUGGGCGUAAAGCGCACGUAGGCGGACCUGCAAGUCGGGGGUGAAAGCCCGAGGCUCAACCUCGGAACUGCCUUCGAUACUGCGGGUCUCGAGUCCGGGAGAGGUGAGUGGAAUUCCUAGUGUAGAGGUGAAAUUCGUAGAUAUUAGGAAGAACACCAGUGGCGAAGGCGGCUCACUGGCCCGGUACUGACGCUGAGGCGCGAAAGCGUGGGGAGCGAACAGG